AUUGAACGCUGGCGGCAGGCCUAACACAUGCAAGUCGAACGAGUGGCGGACUGGUGAGUAGUGGCGGAGAAACUGCGUGAUGGAGGGGGAUAACUACUGGAAAAGGUGGCUAAUACCGCAAACCGUCGGAUGGGCCGAGAUGGGAUUAGGUAGUAGGUGGGGUAACGGCACACCUAGGCGACGAUCCCUAGCUGGUCUGAGAGGAUGACCAGCCACACUGGAACUGAGACACGGUCCAGACUCCUACGGGAGGCAGCAGUGGGGAAUAUUGCACAAUGGGCGCAAGCCUGAUGCAGCCAUGCCGCGUGUAUGAAGAAGGCCUUCGGGUUGUAAAGUACUUUCAGCGGGGAGGCGUUACCCGCAGAAGAAGCACCGGCUAACUCCGUGCCAGCAGCCGCGGUAAUUC
rnacentral:rRNA from 1 species